rnacentral:rRNA from 1 species
UACGAAGGGUGCAAGCGUUACUCGGAAUUACUGGGCGUAAAGCGUGCGUAGGUGGUUGUUUAAGUCUGUUGUGAAAGCCCUGGGCUCAACCUGGGAACUGCAGUGGAAACUGGACAACUAGAGUGUGGUAGAGGGUAGCGGAAUUCCCGGUGUAGCAGUGAAAUGCGUAGAGAUCGGGAGGAACACCAGUGGCGAAGGCGGCGAUCUGGGAAGAUACUGACGCUGAGGUGCGAAAGCGUGGGGAGCAAACAGG